UUGGGAAUACAACCCAAAUCAGACGGUGAAUUUCAUCCUAGGCUAAAUACAGGAGAGAGACCGAUAACGAAUAAGUACCACGAAAGAAAGAUUAAAAGGACUUUAAAAAUAGAGUCAAAGAGUGCUUGAAAUUAUUGGGAGGGAAGCAGAUGGAAGCUGACGAUGCACCCUGGUCAGAUUUGGAAUGGUGACGAGCUGGUUCGUCGAUCGACUCGGGGCGUGGACCAGCGUGGAUUAGGGGGGCGGUCAAAGCCCGGGCUCUUGAUAUGCCCGUGGAAUGAUGUCUCAUUGAUUUUGGUACGAAGAGUGCGCUUCUGACGUGCUUCAACAUCUGUGUGCUCCGGACACUGGCUAUGGGCUCCCCAUUCGACCCGUCUUGAAACACGGACCAAGGAGUCUGACAUGUGUGCGAGUCAACGGGCGAGUAAACCCGUAAGGCGUAAGGAAGCUGAUUGGUGGGAUCCCCCUGAGGGGUGCACCGCCGACCGACCUUGAUCUUAUGAGAAGGGUUCGAGUGUGAGCAUACCUACUGGGACCCGAAAGAUGGUGACCUAUGCCUGAGCGGGGAGAAGCCAAAGCAUACUCUAGUGGAGGACCAUUGUGAUACUGACGUGCAAAUCGUUCAUCUGACUUGGGUAUAGGGGCGAAAGACUAAUUGAACCAUUUAGCAGCUAGUUCCCUUCGAAGUUUCCCUCAGAAUAGCUAGAGAUCGGGUGCAAAUUUUAUCGGAUAAAGCCAAUGAUUUGAGGCUUCAUGGGGCAACACCCUAACCUAUUUUCAAACUUUAAAUCAGAAUGAUGACGUGACUGCUUUGUUGAGCUGCACCACGGAAUCAAGAACUACAAGUGGGCUAUUUUAGGUAAGCUGGACUGGCGAUGAGGGAUGAACCGAAAGCCGGCUUAUGGUUCCAAACUUCAUUCUAACCAAGAUCCAACAAAGGGUGUUGGUCAACUAAGACAGCAGGAAAGUAACCAUGGAAGUCAAAAUCCGCUAAGGAGUGUGUACCAA
rnacentral:ncRNA from 1 species